rnacentral:tRNA from 1 species
GCCACUGAAGUUAAAGAGGUUUAACAAAGAGUCUAAAAUUCUUGAGACGGAGGUUCGAUUCCUCUCUGUGGUUAA